AAAUGCGAUAAGUAGUGUGAAUUGCAGAAUUCAGUGAAUCAUCGAAUCUUUGAACGCACAUUGCGCCCUUUGGUAUUCCUUAGGGCAUGCCUGUUCGAGCGUCAUCUAAACCUUCAAGCCCUGCUUGGUGUUGGGUGCCUGUCCCGCCUCCGCGCGCGGACUCACCUCAAAUCCAUUGGCGGCCCCCGCGUCGGCCACGAGCGCAGCAGAAACGCGAACUCAUGAGCCCGUCCGGGCGGCUCCCAGAAGCUACACCCACCCAGUUUGACCUCGGAUCAGGUAGGGAUACCCGCUGAACUUAAGC
rnacentral:misc_RNA from 1 species